rnacentral:rRNA from 1 species
CAGCCGCCACGGUAACACGGAGGGUGCAAGCGUUAAUCGGAAUUACUGGGCGUAAAGCGCACGCAGGCGGUCUGACAAGUCAGAUGUGAAAUCCCCGGGCUUAACCUGGGAACUGCAUUUGAAACUGUCAGGCUGGAGUCUUGUAGAGGGGGGUAGAAUUCCAGGUGUAGCGGUGAAAUGCGUAGAGAUCUGGAGGAAUACCGGUGGCGAAGGCGGCCCCCUGGACAAAGACUGACGCUCAGGUGCGAAAGCGUGGGGAGCAAACAGGAUUAGAUACCCCAGUAGUCCCUGUUUCUUAUAA